rnacentral:rRNA from 1 species
ACGUAGGGUGCAAGCGUUAAUCGGAAUUACUGGGCGUAAAGCGUGCGCAGGCGGUUCGGAAAGACGGAUGUGAAAUCCCAGGGCUCAACCUUGGAACUGCACUCGUAACUGCUGAGCUAGAGUAUGGGAGAGGCAAGUAGAAUUCCCAGUGUAGCAGUGAAAUGCGUAGAUAUUGGGAGGAACACCAGUGGCGAAGGCAGCUUGCUGGACUGCAACUGACGUUGAGAUGCGAAAGCUAGGAGAGCAAACGG